GCAACUUUCUAUCCGUCCGCGUCAGCUCCUUGCCACCCUCAUCUCCAGCAUGCCUGGUCCGACCCCCAGUGGCACUAACGUGGGAUCCUCAGGGCGCUCUCCCAGCAAAGCAGUGGCCGCCCGGGCGGCGGGAUCCACUGUCCGGCAGAGGUAAGGAACCCUGCAGUUGGUUCGCUUCCAGACUCGGAGAUAGGGUCCAGGAACUCGCUGGUUCUGGGGUGGAGACCCUAGCAUAUAAAGAUUGACAAGGACAAAAUGAGCUUCUAGUGACGUGGCCGUGGGAGUAGUUAAAGGCCUUUUGGGAGGAAGGCGACAUUUUUUUUCUCGUUGCUCAGUUUAGGGCACCACUCUUAAAAAAGGAAAGUUAAACUGGAAUAGAGUCAGAGAUAACUUUGAGAAAACCGAUGUCAUUAAACUGGUGUCUCUGGACCUGAGGUUUGCACUCACAUUUCCAUCUGGAGGCCCCAUAAGCAAUCUGUCCUACAGAUAACUCGUCCUACACAAAACUUAGUCUCUUUUCAGCUCAGCUCUCUCACUCUCAAUUAUAUCUCCUUACUUCCAUAUGGCACUGUUGUACACUCAUUUACUCAGAGCCAGAAACGUCAGCGUCAUCUUGGAUUUUUCUUAUGCUCUCUCUCUCUCUAGUCAUAUGCCAGACUUUAAACUCUACUUGAAAGCCUUCUC
rnacentral:sRNA from 1 species